rnacentral:piRNA from 1 species
CUCCCCUCACAUACUCUGGACUUGG